GUUACUGGUAAAACUGUCUAACAAGUAGUAAAUUAUCAGAUCAUAGUAUGGCUGAAUCCAGUAAACUACUGCCGGGAGCGACUUCUUCAAACAAUUUGGAGGCUGAGGAGAGAGCACGAAAAAAGGAACUGACGUUAAUACCACCUUUGUAUCUAGUAUUCGAAGGUCGAAAUGAGGACGCAGUGGAUGUUAGCAAAAUAUCACUUAUUGAACAGAUAACUGAAUUUGCAAAAAAGACAAAGAUUCCUUGUCAUAUCAUAGGACAAACCGUUUUGUUGCACAGUGUAGUUGCAAAUCAUACCAACACACCUCAGAUUAAGGAAGGAUUCAAUAGAUUUGAUUUGGAAGACAAAAACAUUGAGGAUGACAUAUAUAACUUCAAGGCAAUAGCAGCAUUGGCCAUAGGAAAGGAAUUAUUGCCGGUCAUCAUAUAUUUACGCAAUAGUGAGAUGAAAACAAAACAGUAUAAAAGAAUCAUUCCUCUCAUAUGCAUAAAGGUAAA